UCGUCCUCUUUCUUCAAGCUCUCUCUCCACUGCGACAGUAGCCCUUUCCCCAUUGAAGGUCGUCUGCUUAACCCAGAGUAUUCGUAAGAGGGGAAUAUGUACUGAGCAGGAUUCCAAACGCAAACGAUAGACUGGACUGAUUAAUUCUGUGCGAGAGACAGCAGUCAACAGUAGUUGUGUUGGUGAUCGUGUUGAGAACCUAGAAUGAAAGGUGGAGAAACGGAAAGGAGUUCAAUUGGCUAAAAUUUCGCGCGAAAAGCUUCUCAUCUCAUGGCUGUUUUGACCUUGUACAAGCUAUUCUUCGCUUGAUAUUCAUAUGGAAGUCUCUGUAAUCAGAGUAUUGGUGAAUAGUUAGUGAUCUUGAACUUGUGUUGUGGAGUGGGCUUAUUGUUCAUCACUUAGGGAGCUGAUCUAUUAAUGCAUCGUCACAGCGGCUCACCUUCUGAACUAACCAAGUACGACCACCUAUGAUCAGCGGAGUAGAUAGAACUUUGACUCAUUCAAAAACCAUAAUGUUAUGUUUUAUAGGGCCGGAGCAUUCGUUGAAGAUCCAGCAUUCUCGAUUCGCGUUCAUUUUUUAAAGCAGCAAAAGAGCUCGCUUAGAAGGGACCUUUCAGCCUAAGGUCUUCUUCUAUUCGGUCAUGUUUGCAUUUGUUAGAUCAAUGUCAACUACAUCAAGUAUAAUGUGUCAGUAAGUUGUGUCAUUCGUAGUACGUGGGCAGCCAAAUAUGAACAACACUAACCUGAAAUUAAUAUAUUGGUACAGAUACUAUACUAGGACAACGGCCUGUCUGUCUGUCUGUCUGUCUGUGGUUCUCUGCGUAUAUGAAAGUAAGAAGUACUCAAGGAGGCCGACGCAUCGGACACGGACUAACCUUGUUGAAACGAGUUACCGGUCAGCAGAAUAAUUAGAUCACUUAUAAGAUAGGAAAGGUAUACGCCUGCUCAAGCCGAAGCCCAUUGAUUUAUUCACUGAAUGUUUUAAGUAAUGGGUUAGAUUUGCUGUUCUAGUCAUCUAUUUUGCACGCACUUUGUAUUUUUAGAUUGUCUUUCUAUCUAGCUAUCUGAGAUCGAGCUAGAUUUAAGCGAACAUUACUCAGGGUAACUAAAAAACAGAGCUCGUAUGUGUACUGUAUAAUGAUAGAACAAGCGAAUCGACGAGUAAGUACAACCAUAGAUCAUUCGAAUUUCAUUGUCUGAACCGUUCUGCAGUAAAGUGUAGUAAGAGCUCCCUUGUUCUACAUGAAAUAAUCGUGUACUAAACAGUGGAUUUUUUUCGGUUUUAUCAAAAUAUAACGUUACCAAUAUUAUAUAAAUUUUAUUAUAUAUUUCAUAUCAUGCACCUUCUCUAUAGCAAUGUUGACUACAGGCGGAGACAGAUGUUGAUCGGAUAUGUAAUCUCGGAGCAUUUAUUGUGUAGGUGACAUGUCCUCAGACAACUGAAUUAUCUGAGAAUAGGGAAUUUAUCGCCAAACAUUAACACCAAACGCUGAAUAUAAUCGCCAAUAAGAAUUGAGUUUGUCAGAAUGGAAAAUAGAACCAAUGCUUUUGGUUCCUUUGAAACUAAAAUGUCCCGCAGACAGGCGAGGCAUUGCCCAUGCUUUUAUAGUUGAACCUAGGGAUACAUGUUCAUCCCAGAUUGAUUUACGGUUGUACACCAAAAUAGAAAUAGAAUCAAUUUAGAUCUAAUUGAUUCAAAAUUUUUUGAUACAGGGUUAGAAUUAAUCAACCGAAACUCGAUUGGUCUUGUAAUGAUGAGACUGUAAAGCGUCACGAAAACAAAUAAGCUGUUUUUUCAUAAGUCGGUUUUUUUGCGUGGUUUCCUCUGCUUAAUCAAAAUCAUGAGUCUACAAUUGAUACUAUUAUCCAGAGGAGUCUUAGUCGACAUUUCACAUUACUCCAUAUUGGUACAUGCUCACUUAUUAUGCACUUUGGCUGAAAUACACCUGCACGCAUGGGUGGCCAUUUUGCAAAUAUACGAUAUAUUGUGCAAAUUUUAUAGUACUUAUUGUAACAUGAUGUGUCUUUGCGUGUCAAGAGAUCAAUCGACAGACUGGCAGCUAGUGAACAAUAGCUACAGUCCCUCCCAUUAUCUUAUAUUACCAAUAAUUACAGUUUUACCGAUGGCAUAGAUGAUAUAGACAUUUUUACGAGCGUACAAAUAUCUAUAUCAUCUAACAGUUGUCGGAAGUCCCCUUGCUAAUAACCUUCGUCACUUUCGAUAAUCCGGCGCGAUUGGAGCAGUGGAAAUAUAAAAAGCUACAACAACAAUUCAGUCUGUUUGGUCUUGCUUUAACAGAGCUGAUAUUAAGUGCCGUAUAUAAGACACGACAGUUUAGUAAGUUAAUUUUAAUUUUAUUCGUGAGAAUUUAGCAGUCAGUGCACUUUGGAGCUUCACCGCUUAUCGCAUGCUAGACAUUAGGUCCUCGAUAUAAGCUUUUCUGGCGUAUGUUUAGACGGAGUGGCUUGGGAUUAUGAGGUUUUGGUAAAAGUUUAGAAUGAUGUUUUCUUGUUUUGCAGUUAUGCCAAUAUGUUAAUGCUAGCAUUUAAAUGAUGAUUUCCCUCUAAAUAACAAUUAUAUUAACAAUAUAGUUGCAAUACAUAUCGUCACAUAUGAGUAAGUUAUACUGUCUGAGAUUGAAGUCAUGUCAGAGCUGAGCCUACCUACGGUCAGAUAUAGAAGACGAGGUACCUAAUAUGGCAGGGUCAUUCGUAGUUGCAGAUGGAAUUUCUUUAAUUACCGUAAUUAUAAUUGUUAUAAGCUAACCGAUAGCCCGUCCGAGGCUAAAUGUUUUUUUUUUAAGUAAUAUAACUGCGCUUGCUUUCCCACUAAUGAGUGCGAAGGAGUGCAGAACUGCCUCGAUCGAGCGUUAUUUUAUCCAAAUGAUCUAAAACGUUGCUAGAAUGUAUCGUAUGUAAAUAAAGACAAGAAGCUUUUCGUUAUCUAGGCGCGUCCCAUAGUGUAUUUAUGCUUGUUAAUUAAAAUGUUAUGCAGGUGAGGGAAAAUUGCUAUUUGCUUGAAGUGGGGUAAACAAUAGAGUUUGUGACCUUCGGUUAAAAAUGACAUAACAAAGUUGCCUGAUUCUAAGGUCACAUGAUUCAAAGAUUUCACUAUGUGUUGACGUAGAUAACCCUUUUAAAAACGCGAUGGUUAUUAGUUAUCUAUGUGUAUCUUAUGUGCUACGCAUGGACACAAUCCAGAAUACCCGAAGGUACUAAAAAUUAAAUAAAAAUUAGACCCAUUGUUGUUACUUAGUCUAGAAGUAAUUUGCUGCUUGGGAUGGCAUAUGGGAGCAGAUGUAUGAUGCCGCACUCGGCUAUGCUGAGACGCAUUGUUAUAGGUUACGUGUCGUUAGCGUUCACGUAUUUCGUAUUCUUCUGAGCGUUCGACAAAGAUGGCCAGGAUUUCAAGUCAAGUAAGCAUAGAAUAAAAUUGAAUCCUAUGCAAAUAACUCGACGACGCGUAUCUUUAAGUUAUCAUAGUAUCACAUAUUUUGUUCUCUUCAAAUCUGUAUUAGAUGAAGCCGAAUCGUUUGAUUGUUGUUACCUUGAGAAGCAUUGACCGGGGAAACUUCACAAAUUUUUCCUAGGAUUCGUCUUUUAGCCAAAGCGAAGAACAAAGUAAAAUGAAAUGCAAACGUUUGCGUAGAGUGAACGACAGGACAGCAAAGAAAGCGUAUGCGUUGUACCCUGCACUGGGAGGUAAAUUGUGUGAGAAAAAAGUUUGUGAUUUGUUCAAUGCUAUGGGAUGAACAGGCAUUGCUAGCGGGGCGAUACUGCAGUUCAAUGUGUUAGCUAGUUAAUGCUGUCCAACAUUUUGAUUAGUAACUAAUAAGAACGAUUCAAGGUCUGUACACACGGCUGUUCAGAGUGAAGAAGGAUAUCAUUUUUAAAAUUAGACCUCCCGACUUAUAGCCCGGGUAAUUGUAUAACCUAAAUCUGAAGGCUGAUAGAAAGAAGAGGAAGAAGAAGAAGAAGCGAUUUCUUAUGUGCAUCAAGUACAAAAAUGUGAUUCGAAACAGUGUACAACUUAGGAACGCAACAUCUUCCUCGAAAUUAGUCAUUGUAACUGACUCAUCACUCUGUGAUCAUCAACUGACUAAGGAACUUCGAAUUUAUUGUUUUAUCAUAAAAGCAUUUACGUAUCUUGACCUGUUCUUGCAAAUCAUUCUUUUAGUCUAUUAAUGUAUACUACGUUAAAAGUUUCGUCAUCGGUAGGCAAAUAAAUGAAUAUCCUGGCAUCCGCCUACAAACGUAUAUACGUUUCGUGAUAAAGGCAGUGACGUAAGAAGCUUACAACUAGGCCUAGUUGUUUUAAGAAAGGUGUAAAAUAAAAGUAUUUUGUAAUGAAAUUUUUAUAGUCAUGGUUCAUUUGGGAGACUCCUAUAAAAUAGUCACGCUUUUUUUGGACUAUCGAAGUCUCUCGUCUACCCGUUAACGUAAAAGAAAUGCGUUCUAUCUGCAGGUUCCAUUAACCUAAACGGUGGCGUAUUUCUCAGCGGAAGAACUUGUAUCUGGCUGUGUUCCAGCUGCAUGUACACAGCACUGUGAUCCCUUUUCAAUAACUGCUCCAUUACCGAUACGAAAGGAUGAAGCUGAGAAGUAUAAUAGGUCUCAUUUAGGCGACGAAAUUCAUCUUGUGAGUAGGCAAGGAGCUCAUUGUACUGGUUGGAAUGGUAUUGCUGAAUGUUAGGAGGCCGAUCAGUGUCGACGUUUAACGAGAGGCUAAAGGCAUCGUCGACCGCUUCCUUUGCCAUUGUUUCCACAAUAAACAAGUAAAGGCGUGCAGACUCAAGCUGAAAUAAAAAUAAGUAACACCUGUAUUAUAUCUGCUUCUAAAUACCUAUAUGUGGUACAAAUUCAAAAGAAAAAUUCCACUUGUGUAUAUGGAGGGAUUCCACAAGCUGGCAAUUCUAUAUCCAAUAAAGUUGGCACCGUUGGGCUAUUAAUGUCCAUUUCAGUGGCCAAUCCCGUUACUGCAGUUGGUGUAACGCAAGUGAGGGUUGUGCUCGAAACUCGACAGUACUUUUUGAAUCCAUGCGACGGUAAAAAAAUGUUCGUUUAGAGAGAGCCUCUAAUAAAGCCUAAAAAUACAAGAGACAGACGGGAAAAUAAGUUAGGGCCUUGGUUAGGGCCGACCUGCGCUUCGGCUUUUAUUAUCGUACCCUUUUCGUUAUCUUGUGUUUCUUGUAUUAUCGUUAAGUGCAGUGCCUCCAUCUUAGAAUUCGAUAUAGUAUUUUGUGGAAAAAAGGUAUAGGAAAAGGUUUUCAAAGCAAAAGGUAAUUCUAGUGCUUGUUCGUUAACUUCGAACUUCAGUGGAUACCUUUCUUAUUAUUAUUAUUUUGUAGGUAAGCUCCAGCUGCUUUGAAAGAUUGUUUUAGUGUUCUUGAGCUAGUAGUCGCUUCACUUGCCACGUAGGCUGUAGAAGGUCGCGUAAGCUAUAGUCUAUAGUAGUUGACUGUUCUCAGUUUCUGAGGUAACUCAAAUCUAUUCAAGCGAAAAGGCUGCAAAUGAGGCUUCGGCAUACUUUUUUCCACCUAAGAAUAGCGUCUGGAACUAAGCAUUCGACUAUUUCCCAUUUUAAUUUAUAGCAGAUAAUACUAAUAUGAACUCGUGUUAUCGAAAACUUAGCGUGAUUCUGCGCAAAUGGCUCUGAUACAUCAACUUCGAAAAUUUCGAGGCAGUCUCGUUGUUUUCACUACACAUUUUGGCGGCAGUUGUGGUCGACGGGAAUACGUUCUACAUUAACAUUUUAUUUCGAUGUUCAGGAAGAGUUAAUUUUUCAGUAUCUGAAGGCUACCAUUUAUGACAGCUUGCAACUGGAUAUGUUUUGACUGAAAUUGUUUUACAAGUAGCUUAACAAUAACCAGCUUUACUAGAAGUAUAUCAUUGUAAUCUGCCUCAGUAUCUAAACAGAACUUUACGUACUUCAGCCGUACGUUCUAUGAGGCCAAAGCAAAUUAUAAUAUUGCAUAAGAAAAUAAGUUGAUAUCGAACGUGACGCCUACAGCCAGAUGUACUCUAAAGUAUGCGACUUGGAUUUAUAAGAACAAAAAAAUCCAACAAAAUGCAUCAAUAGUCAAUAAUAUUACUGAAAAUACAUUUGGGUAUUUUUUUUUUAUGUAAGAGCUGUUCAUUCUCGAUGUCUCAGAUCUAUUCAAAGAUUUUUGACUGCAACAGCGUAGCCUAUGCGGGCGAAAUGGUUUUUUAUCACACAUAUCAGUCGGUUUUGUUCGUCGUCGUUGAUGCUGAAUUACUGAAAAUAUGUUAAGGAACUUGGUCAUUUUAGGUUUUUCUCAUAGCAGCGGCUAGGCAUGCUGUACUGCACUACGUCGGGUGCAUUUAUUCAAAAGCGAUGUUUAUGCCUUCCAUAAUUGGCAGGUAUAAUGAUCCUACUGGACAAGAUAGUUCGGCGUAUAGACAGAACAUGAUCGAACAUCUUGUAUUUUAUCUUAAGUAAUCCGCAGGUAGUUCUUUGAGUGACAUAAUGUUUCAUCUAUAAAGCUAGUUAUAAUAGGACUUCGAUAUUAUGGCUAUUCGAUAGACUGGUGCCAUCUCUAGCGGUUCGAACGUAAUACAUCGGGAUUGAGUGACAUGCUAUAAUCCAGAACGCCGCCUGUGUGAUUAUUGCUCAAGUUACUACUAAAAGUUGAUACUACGAAUAGCUUACUGAUAGUCCUAUUGUGACCACGUAACUGGGUUUUUUCGUAGUAUGCAGUAAGCUUGCUUAAGACUGCUCGAAUGCAUCUACUUUGUAUAUAUUUACGACCUUUCAUGUAAAUAAAAAGCUGAACUAUUUUACUCUAGUGUUCAUAUAUAGUCACUGUGUCGUUGGAAUUAUUAGCUCGUUGCUUUCUCCUACUGGAACUCACGCUGACGCCAGUCACUUUCCCCGAUCCACACUAUCCAUUAGAUCUUCUUGGGUCGAAUUAUACAGACAGAAAAGUGAAAUAUCUAUUAGUCUAUAACUGAUCAUACUAAAAUGUUGUGGUUUCUGCGGCGUCGUAAGCUGCACCAUGUACGCAUAAAUACAUAGAUAGUUUACGAUUUUUUCACUAUAUAUAUACAUUGAGUUGAGUCGGGCUGCGCUGUUUCGUGUCGGAAACCUUUGCGGUUCGUGUCCGUCAGAAUCUGUAUCCUAUUUAGUAGGUGCAGUUAAGAAUCCAUAAAAGCAACGCACACGUGUGGUGUAUAUACACAUCGUGCGAACACGCUGGUAUAGUGGAGACGAUGUUAAUAAAAAUUGCUUACCUCAGUUGUCAACGAUUUGUUUCAUCGGGGCAUCUAUUUGCAAAAACUAUUGUAGGGCAGCUUCGUGUUCCUAUUCCUAGAAGUGAGGCUGAGGUAUGAUAUCGGUUAUCGUUUGAUCUGAUGCUUUUUGCCGUACGCCACUUGCUAUGCCAUGUUAUAUACGUCAAUCUGCUGAUUGUCGGAAGUGGAAUAGCAAUUUCCGACAAUCCGCUCCUUUGUUGUUUUUAAAAUUACGAACGGCUUUUCAGAACAUCGCCAAUAGUUUGUUUGGAUUUUUGGAUAUUAAUCUAAUUAAUUUAUUUAACAUACAAUCCCCAAGGCCACAUCAGUGUUAUAUAUAUAUUGUACCCCUUAUACGUACCAUCUUUCAUCUAUGGGAACGAAUUUAGAUAGUAGUCCUCUUCAGCUACGUAAAACCAACAUACAACUUUUGUCAGUAGAUAUCGAGUUAGCUUCAGGCGCUGUUACGAAGACGCGCUGUAUUUAAAGUGCUUCAAUGAACACUCUGACUUUGAGGUGUUCGCGAUAAAAACAAAGUGGUCUAAAUUAUCCGUUAAACAUUACCUUUUCAAACGUGCACUUAAAAUAGUUAAACUCGUUUAUCCUACAUAUUUUACCCUCAUCGAAACGACACACUUGGUAUUUUGUUGAGCAAUAAUUGGCCGCUCGUAGGCACGUGAUGCUCAAUGAUGGCCCUCACAUCCCAUAAUUUAUUCACAAAAAUCUAUUGAACAAAUAAGCGAAAUAAAUGGUGAGAGAAUAAAAGCAAAACAAAAAACGCUAACACUGCGCUUUUUUAGCUUCUUCAUUACAGUUAGAUUCCCAUAGAAGAUCAACCAGCUCGGUACGCUGACAAUCUUGUGAUAGCGUUGGCGACAACAUUGCUAAUUAACGAUGGCCGCCACGGUAAUGCUCAUCCAUUUCAACGAUUGCUACAAUGUCGAAGCACAAAAGACUGAGCCCGUGGGAGGCGCGACCCGUUUCUGUACGGCGGUUAAGUCACUGCGGCCAUUUAACCCAUUGGUGUUAUUCAGCGGCGAUAUUUUGGCUCCAUCGAUUAUGAGCACGUUCACGAAGGGCGAUCAAAUGGUUCCCGUCCUCAACAGCAUCCAAACUGAUUGUGCCGUGUAUGGAAAUCAUGACUUCGAUUUCGGCGUAGACAACCUGAUCGACUUUAAGGAUAAAUGUAAAUUUCCAUGGCUGAUGAGCAACGUUGUUGACAACGAAACUCAGAAACUAUUGGCUGACGGCUCUGAAUUUGUCAUUCUCGAACGCACUGGAAAAAAGUUUGGAAUUAUCGGCCUUGUAGAAGAAGAAUGGUUGGCUACGCUAGCUACAAUUGACGCUGAGCAGGUAGAGUUCCGAGAUUUCGUAACUGAAGGACGACGGUUAGCUCGACUCCUCAAAGGACCGAAUCAUGGAUGCCGCUAUGUGAUAGCUCUUACCCAUAUGCGAUUUCCCAAUGAUUGUCGAUUGGCGGAGAACGUCGAUGAAAUCGAUCUAAUUCUUGGCGGACACGAUCACGUUUAUGAAAUUAAAAAAUGUGCAGGAAAGUAUAUCGUGAAAUCCGGAACCGAUUUUCGCCAAUUCUCCAAAAUUAUUCUAACGUUUACAGUCGAGGGACCAGUCGACGUAACUAUUGAGGAGGUAAAUAUCACAUCUAAAUACGACGAAGACGAAGAUCUCCUCCAAGAGCUCAAGAAGUACGACGCAGUAGUUCAAGCAGGUAAAAUGGAUGAAGUUUUGGGUCAGUUCUCAGUGGACCUCGAUGGCCGAUUUAGCUCAAUCCGUACGUCUGAGACGAAUUUAGGAAAUUUUAUCACGGACGUUAUGCUAGCUGCGACGCAUUCCGACCUCGCAUUGCUCAAUUCGGGCACCCUCCGCUCAGAUCGAGUGCAUCCGAAAGGUUCUUUCACCAUGCGUGAUUUGGUGACUGUCCUUCCAAUGAUGGAUAGUUUAAUAGUUCUAGAGGUUACAGGAAAGCAAAUCGUAGGGGCCCUUGAAAAUGGCGUAAGCCUGUAUCCGAGACUCGAAGGACGAUUUCCACAGGUGUCUGGAGUUUCAUUUGCAUUUGAUCCUCGAAAGCCAGCAGGCAAACGUAUAAACCCCGACCACGUAAAGAUUGGAGAUGAAAAGCUCGAUCUGAACCAAAGAUACCGACUUGUCACGAAGAUGUACCUUUACCAGGGCAAGGACGGUUACGACAUUCUUAAGAACUCGCUUAUAUUGAUGGCUGAAGACGAAUCGCCAGAAUUAUGUACAGCAGUUCAGAAUCAUUUCCAGGCGAUCAAGAUGCUCACGGGGGCUCAAGAACAUUGGCAUACGCACCACAGACAAAGUCUUGUGGCUCUCUCAAGGAGGCACAGCGUUGUUCGUAUGGCAGAGGAAGCUCACCAUGGACACAACAGACAGCCGGUGUUAAUUAAAGGCGGGUCGCAGGAUGCGUCCGCACGGCGGGCUCAAUUCGGAACACGACAGUCAUCAUUGGAUAACGUUGAACAUGAACAAGCGAAGCUCAGCCCAAGAGUCGAGGGUCGGAUAGUUGUCCUUGCGCGCGAGGUUUGAAUCGAGAAACUUUAAAAAAAUUGUUAUUAUACGCUUUACUGUACCGUAUGUUUAUGCUGAUCGUUGACAUAAUAAGAAAGAAUGUAGAGAUUGGUUGGCUAUAGCUAGAUGCAAAUCGAUAUUUUUUGUAGUGGUCUUUUCGAGUAAAACACCUUCAUAUAAAACUAGAAAUGGGCCUGGGUCAGCUGAAAAAAAAACUGAAAACAUUGAUUUACUUGGACUAACUGUGCUCUCACGUUGUUUUAUUUAUGUCGUGUAGAAUUUUAGGUGACUUGAAAACUAACGAUGAAAUUAGAGGAGCUUUUUCAGAUUAAUUAGCUAAAAUCUUUUCAGGAGGUAGACGCACAGAAAAAGCUAAAGCAGAUAUAACUGAAUAUUGGUGGAUAUUUUGCUAAAAGGGGUAUUACUCGAAAUAUGCAAAAUCGAGCGUGAUCGCUACGUGAAAAGUCUUCGAGAUAAUAAGAUAAAAGUUCAAUCAUAUUUUAACGUACUUUCUCAUACGAUCUCUACUGAACACAUUACGCUGCCAUCGGUGUUCUAGUUACCAUGUAAGCUUUUGUCUCACGCGCCACUUUUCGUGAACCACUUUCAAUGGAGCCACGUACUCCGAUGGGACUUAACGUACCGAAAAUUUUACCAGGCUUUAUUUAAUCACCUACCAGCGAAGGAUAUUUAUGAUUAUUUUCCUGCAUUGUUCGACAUGGUUCUGUCCUCGGUACUAGUACGUCAACUUAUGGGCACGUUGAUCAAAAUCUAAAUAUAUUUUAUCGCAUCCUUUAGUUUUCAACUAAAAUUCAUUUGAUUUAUUGAAACAAAGAUGGUUGGUUAUAGCACGAGUUACUUUUAGUUGAAACCUAUUUUCGUUGACUAUCUAUGGCAGGUGAUAGUGAAGAUACGUUUUUAAUUCUUCUUCAUAUCUCAGGUCCCGGCGGUACGUUUUUGCUUAACUAAGAACAAUCGCAUAUUACUCUAUGUCUAUUAAUUUUUUCAUCAUAUUCUUCUGUAUGUGUUCUGCUUCCUAUUACUUUAUUUUGUCCACUGUUCUACAUGGUGAUUGUUGUCAUUUCUAUCAGUGACGUUAACGCAGCAGUGACUAGCCGAAAACCGCGAACUACUUGAUCGACGGGACGCGCCUAUCGCUUCAAUCGAGAAUGUUCAGUAAAUCCUUCGAGAAUAGCAGCCUGAAUUUUCGAGUUGGUUUUAUGUGUCCUUUCUUCUUAAAAUGUCAGCGGAUGUCUACCAAAGGUGCCGUAUGUAUAGGGUUUCCAGUCGCGUUUUACAUAACUUGUUACUGCUGUGAGAGCUAGAAUUUUUCUUUUACUUGGAACAUUAUUGGGUGUAUAUCUUUGACAUUUAUAGCACUAGAAAUCUGCAAAACGGAAAAGUCUCAUUUCUCGUUUUUGUACGUACGACAGUAGCUCCCAUACAAUUGGCAACAGCACAGAAGCUAUAGAUACACUUACCAAGCAUUGUGAAGAACACUCAAAACGGAACAAGAGUGUCGAAAUUAGAAGGCGAAGGCUGAGAUAUUUGCUCUUAUCACACUUAGGUUCUUUCAAUUUGAGAUAAUAGAAAAUGUUGACGACAGCCUUCCCUUUUUCUAUUACCAAUAUCAGUAAAUUAGAAAUUACCUCAAGCUAGAAGUAUAUUACCUUUUCAGCAUUAUAUCUAUGGCAUUAUAUCUAAAUUCAUUUUAACUCCAUAAAUAGGAAUAAAGCUUCAUUUGACCGUGUGGUUACACAUCCGCGGAAAGAAAAAUCCUAUUGGAAAUCUGUAAAGUUUUGAAGCUGGUAACCUCGAAGUGGUCUAUUCAACAGAUUACUGAUCCCAUUAAUGCAUAAACCAAUCUCGCAUUCAAAGCUACUAAUGAUUUGUUUUAUUCUUAUGUAUGUGUCUUCUAUAAAUAUCUUUGGUUGGCGUAUAGGGUGAGGCUUGGUCUGCAGAGAAACAAAUGGAUAAGCUUUCGUUAACGGCCCAUAUCGACGAUGUCAUUCCCGAAGAAGCCCUGCAAA